rnacentral:lncRNA from 1 species
CAAAGGACUAAAAGUUUUGUUAUCAUAUGACUGAUUAAAAGUAUUAUCCAUGCACAUCAUUUUAAAUGAGCAUUUCUAUAUAUAUCAAACAAAGAACAUGGUAUAUUAUAAAUGAGUUUGAUAAGUAUUUUUGUUUGCUCUCUGAUCCAUAUGAAAAUCCAUAUUUGAGCUAUGAGCUCACAGUACAAAAUAAGAAAUUUUAUAUUUUUGUUUAGAGUUAUAAGCUUCAAUUUUAGAACUAUGCACUUCAAGCAAUAGACUGGUGUUUAGAGAGAGUAAAACGAUCUUCUCACUCAAAAAUGCAAUGAGACUUCUUAAUGAGAAGUUGUCUGGCUAUAAAAGAAUGAAUGAAUGAACAAUCUCAUAUGUAUGCAACUUGCAAGAAUUUUAGAGUUAUAUAGGUGUGGCACAGGCAAAAUGCAUAUUGCAUUGCAAGACUUCCCUCAGAGUCUUUCCUCCUUAUUUCACUGCAAAGCAUAAUACACAAACACCAAACUUUUCAUGUCACAAGCUGCACACAUAGAAAUUCAAUAAAACAUUCAGUUGGAAGCCUAUAGGAUAAGUUAUUCAUUCUUUUGCUAUAGGUCCUUGUUUUCCAAAGUUUAGUUUUUAAAUUUUUUUAAGAUAACCUAGAAGAAAACUUAAUAAGGCAAAAACAAUAUAAUUCAUUUAUUUUACCAUAACCCAAACAGUGUAUGUGAGAAAUUUAGCAGUGAACUAACUCAUUUAAGGUUGGAAAAGAAAAUGAAAGGUUCGGAAUCCAUCUACUCAAAUAGUUGUAGUCCCUCUCCAGAGGUUAAGAUUUAGUCUAUGUCUUCCCUAUACUUAUUUGGGAACUAAAUUCUCCCACAGAUUCUGUUACUGUGAAAAGUAGAGAAAAAAAAAAUUUUUUUUUAAUUGCCAGCCAGUGCAUCUCUGAAAAGUACUGCUGGGUUUAUGGAGACAUGCAACAGGGCACUCAAACACUAUAGAUGACAUUUCAACCCUCAGUACUUCAGCACUACAUCAGUGGCCACCUUCAAUGGCCCUUUGCCCUACUCAAUCGUCGGCCUGGGGUAGGGGGCACCUAUACAAUCAGUAUCUGGUGGUUAAAAAAGAAACAGUCUAUUUUUAAAGAAAGGAUAAUUUUGUACCUUGUAGGCGUCGUCCCAUUAAACCUAAGUAUGCACCAGUACAAGUGACCAUUCCCUCUCCUUGGAAGACACCAGCAAGGGUUUAAAAGCAAAGCGACGCCGCCAGGAAAGCAUGAGGGAGACAACACGGAAGACGUGAAGCUGCCGGAGCUAGCGGAGGCGGUUGGGAAGAACCCACUGCGCUGCUUCCGCGGGUCGCAGAGGCGAGAGAGCAGCGCUCAGGGACUGCUGCCAUCCUAGACACCUCGAGCUCCGGCUGCCUGACCAGCCGGCUGUGCUCUGGUUUCCCCUGCAGCCACCCAAACCUAGGCGCCACCAGGGGACAGGGUGUUCGCAUCUUCAAAACCAUCGCGGCCCAGAGAGCACUUUUGUUCUGGCUUCCGGCGCGUCUUUCCCUAUUGCGGGCUCGGACACAGCCCAGAACCGGCGCGCACACGCGCACACACCCUCGCACACGCACACACGCGCGCACACAGACUUCUUGGCCAGCGUUGCCAUCACACACCCGGGGUACGCCACCGAGGGGGCCAAGUACCUGCUCUCUGCGAGCUGUUGUGCUGUUCACUUCAUCCUCCGUUGACAAGGAAACCAAACCGCACUUCAUUUUUUUUUUUUCCAGAAAAACCUUCCACUGCCAUGGUUUGAAAAUUGAUUUACGGGGAGGGGAGAAGGAGGAACAAGGGAUAAUAUAGAUAUCAGGAUAUCUAUCAUAAAAUUAUCUCGGGUUUUUUAAAUAAAAAAGUCAAAUGUGCAAAAGUAAUAGUUAAUGUAAAGGAGGAAAAAAGCAAUUGCUUAAAAAUAACCCCUUUAACUAGCUGCAAGAAAAGUUUCAUGUUAUCAACUGAUAUCAAAAACAGGAGGGGAAAAAACGAAAUAUUUCUCACAGGCUUCCAAAAAGGUCAUAAAAAUGCAAAAUGAAUGUCUUUGCUCAGUGGUGCGAAUCGAAUUGCAAGGCGACAAACUUGUGAACACUGCUGGAAAAUCCCACCUACACAAAAAUGCAAUCGGAAAAAGAGUACGUAAAAAAAGAGUUAGAAACAUGCUUUCUUAUCUUUACAAAGGGAAAAAAAAUAGGCACCAUACUUCACAACGCUUUUUCCAUAAAACCAGUUGCACAUUUUGCUGGACUUGGGAGCCGCUCACAGAGAGCACCGCUGCCGCGGACUCCCAGACACAGCGCCUUGUCUAGAGAACCAUCGCAUGCUAGGAAAACUUGAUUGAGGAAAAGGCUUAAGACUAUGCUCGUCAGCUUUCCCAAAUACAAACAAUAAUCAAAGAAGUGGGAAGAAAAAAAAGAAGAAGAAGAAGAAAAAAACAAAAAACAAAAACAAAAAAAAGGAAAAAAAAAAGAAUAGGACAAGAAUGCCACUGAGAAGGUACUCACCGAGCGGGAGUAAAAUGUUGGAAUAAAAAUGAGAUUUA